rnacentral:rRNA from 1 species
AUUAGUCUUUCGCCCCUAUACCCAAUUUGACGAUCGAUUUGCACGUCAGAACCGCUGCGAGCCUCCACCAGAGUUUCCUCUGGCUUCGCCCUAUUCAGGCAUAGUUCACCAUCUUUCGGGUCCCCACAGCUACGCUCUUACUCAAAUCCAUCCGAAGACAUCAGGAUCGGUCGAUGGUGCGCCCCGCAAGGGGGCUCCCACCUCCGUUCGCUUUCACUGCGCGCACGGGUUUGACACCCGAACACUCGCGUAGAUGUUAGACUCCUUGGUCCGUGUUCAAGACGGGUCGUUUACGACCAUUAUGCCAGCGUCCGUGCCGAAGCGCGUUCCUCGGUCCAGGCUGGCCGCAUUGCACCCCUGGCUAUAAGGUGCCCGGAGGGCAUACAUUCCAGGGGCCUUUGACCGGCCGCCCAAACCGACGCUGGCCCGCCCACGGGGAAGUACACCGGCACGAAUGCCGGCUGAACCCCGCGGGCGAGUCUGGUCGCAAGCGCUUCCCUUUCAACAAUUUCACGUGCUGUUUAACUCUCUUUCAAGUGCUUUUCAUCUUUCGAUCACUCUACUUGUGCGCUAUCGGUCUCCGGCCAGUAUUUAGCUUUAGAUGAAAUUUACCACCCAUUUAGAGCUGCAUUCCCAAACAACUCGACUCGUCGAAGGAGCUUUACACGGGCACGGACACCCCGCCCAAGACGGAUUCUCACCCUCUCUGACGGCCCGUUCCAGGGCACUUAGACGGGGGCCGCACCCAAAGCAUCCUCUGCAAAUUACAAUGCGGACUCCGAAGGAGCCAGCUUUCAAAUUUGAGCUCUUGCCGCUUCACUCGCCGUUACUGAGGCAAUCCCGGUUGGUUUCUUUUCCUCCGCUUAUUGAUAUGCUUAAGUUCAGCGGGUAUCCCUACCUGAUCCGAGGUCAACCUGGAAAGAAUGGUUGGAAAACGUCGGCAGGCGCCGGCCAAUCCUACAGAGCAUGUGACAAAGCCCCAUACGCUCGAGGAUCGGACGCGGUGCCGCCGCUGCCUUUCGGGCCCGUCCCCCGGAGAGGGGGACGGCGACCCAACACACAAGCCGGGCUUGAGGGCAGCAAUGACGCUCGGACAGGCAUGCCCCCGGAAUACCAGGGGGCGCAAUGUGCGUUCAAAGACUCGAUGAUUCACUGAAUUCUGCAAUUCACAUUAGUUAUCGCAUUUCGCUGCGUUCUUCAUCGAUGCCGGAACCAAGAGAUCCAUUGUUGAAAGU